GGAGGCGUGUUGUAUUUUGUAGAUCAAAAGUCUGCAAAGCAACUGAAGACGCACGUCUUAGUAGAAUGCGAAUAGCUCAAUUGGUAGAGCGAUAAAAUGAUAAUUUAUUGGUCGGAGGUUCGAUUCCUCCUUUGCGAACCAAACGCAAAGCCGUCUUCGGUACAUAGAUAAAAAUGGCUUAAUACCUGACCGCAAGGAAUCAGGUUGCUUCCUAGCUCGCAAGGCAAAGAAGCAUUUGUGCGGAACUGCACGGUGGAUGCAAUCCUUUACUGCCCGGCAAGGCAGACGGUAAGCAAAACGCAGAGAUAAUCCAUGUACGACAAGUGAACCGCCUCACUUUAACAAGGCAGCCAUGCUGUGUAUGUAAUCGACCUUCGGGUGAUCACAUGGAUACGUUGGAAAUGAUCGGCGCAACCGAUCAGUACCCCAGCAAAAGUGCAGUAAAUAGCGGUGUAAUCUCAGCC
rnacentral:tRNA from 1 species